rnacentral:lncRNA from 1 species
CCACAGAACUAGUGGAAUAGCUAGAUCUAUAUAAAGGGGAGUUUAUUAAGUAUUAACUCACAUGGUCACAACGUCCCACAAUAGGCCGUCUGCAGGCGGAGGAGCAAGGAGAGCCAGUCUGAGUUCCAAAACUAAAGAACUUAGAGCGCGAUGUUCAAGAGCAGGAAGCAUCCAGCAAGGGAGAAAGAUGUAGGCUGGGAGGCUAGGCCAGUCUCUCUUUUCACAUUUUCCACCUGCUUAUAUUCUAGUCAUGCUGGCAGCUGAUUUGAUUGUGCCCACCCAGAUUAAGUGUGGGUCUGCCUUUCCCAGCCCACUGACUCAAAUGUUUAUCUCCUUUGGCAACACCCUCAAAGACACACCCAGGAUCAAUAUCCUUCAAUCCAAUCAAGUUGACACUCAAUAUUAACAUCACACUGAAAAACUCAAGUGCAACAAAUACAGCAAUAAAGAAGAGGACUAUUUUGCCCAAUUUACCAUACAGUUUGUUCAACACAUUUGCUAUUUAUUCUGAUGGUGUUCCUUCAAAUUAGGUUAAUUGGCCUACCACGCCCUUAUGUUUUCUUUUCAGAAAGCUGUAUUUCUGUCAGCAUCCCAUCUUCAUUCCCAAAACUGUGCAGAAGUAUGAAAGGUUUGAGAUGUUACCUAAGUUGACAUCUAACAAGCUCUGUGGAUACUACUAUAAGGUAGACGAUUUCUGUGUCAGUGUACAGCAAGCAACAUGAACAUGCACAAAUUUGCAUCAGUUUCCUUUACCCCUCCAUCCCAUGGGAUGGUGCAGAAUAGACUAGAUGGAUGCUAGCACAUGCAGUGUGGUUGAAAUUAAACAAAAGGAACCUUGAGUUAAAAGAAUCUGCAUUUUUAUAAUGGGAAGAAAGCAUGCCUAUCUUUUGCUCUAGAAGGAGACGUUGUUCAAACUUGUUCCUUUUAUAAAUAUCUUUGGAAAGAUAAUCUACAACAAAGUGCCCUUAGUACCUCUUAUCACAAGAUAUGCAGAAAUGACAGGGCCCUGUGAAAAAAUGUUUUCCAAUUUUGGUGCUUGGGUCUCUGAUGCUUCUGGUCUCCUAAUUAUGAGAUUCAUUCUUGCCAUUUCAUCAUAUCAAUGCAAUUUUGAUGUAUCCUUAUUUUUUUGUUCCGCUCCUUUAAUUACACAAAUUAAGUCUUCACAAUCAGCACAUUCAUAUAAACAGUACGGUAUGACUUGACAGUGAAUUAUUCUUCUCAGGAGACUACAUUCAAACAAGUUGACCUAGAAAGAAAAUGCUUAAGUGAAUAUAACCGAAUGUGUUAUAGUAUCUCUUUAAGCUCUGUUAUUAUAAAGUCCCCUAUUGUGUUUCUUCAUCUAUUUUUAAGUUUUCCUUGAUAUCCAAAUCUUUUGUAAAUCUGUCUACUUCAUUGGCAUGUCAGUUAUGC